UCAGAUGUCCCUACUAACUUGAUGGCGA
rnacentral:piRNA from 1 species